rnacentral:lncRNA from 10 species
CAAGAAAUGAGAAGGAUGCCAAGCUGAGCACAGUCCCUGGAGGCUUCUGCAGGAUCACAUGUCUCUGCAGAAAUGCCAUUUUAACUGAUAUAUUAUUCCCAGAAAGGAAGAAGAUAAACAUGUUAACUCCUGGGUAUAAAUGAAUCUUCAGUUCUGCUUCCCUUCUUCAUCAGAAUAGGAUACAUCUUGAGGGGCUUGGAUGAACUCAAAAUUACAUGCCAAAUUAAAUGCAUCUAAUUUUAAUGGUGCUCAGUUAUUGGAAUCUGUGGAGGAAAGAUGCAGAAAAACACAGAAAAACUCCAAGAACCGGGGAGAGGAUCAGUCUUAAGUCUCAUCAUCUUCAUCAUUUUGCCUGGAUACAGUUAGUUGCAAAAAACCUACAGUAGGUAAAAGUCAGUUAAUUCAGUGGAAAAGAGUGUUGACUGUUUUAUCUUAUAAAUGAGUAGUUCGAGCAGUACAAAUGUAGCCUGAAUGUUGUAUGGGGCAACUAAGGGAACAAAAUUCUCCAGGCGACUUCAUCCAAACGUGAGUUUGCCAGGUGCAACAUGAAAAAACAAAUCAGCCAGCAACUGUGUGGGUAUGGGGAAGAGGUGAGAGAGAAAGGAGUCUUUCCCAUUCUGCACUUAACCUGGAAAAUGUCUUCUUGCUCCCCAAAGUAAGAACAAUACAAUUAUCCUGCUAAGAUGCCACAGAAUGCAAAGCAAUAAAGAGAGAAGGCUCUCCUGAGUCAUAAGCAGCUGCAGUAGGCAUUUGACAGUGGCUAGAGAAGAAAUGAAUGUCCCUGAGCCUACAUUGCACAGAGUGGUUGCCUUACGGCAACUGCAUUGUCCAAAGGUAUCCACUGUGAGCAUGAUUGCUAUAAGGAGCUAACAUUACCGAGAUCACACUGAGAGUAAACGCAAGGCUGUCUUAUUUAAUCCUCAUUACCAUCCUAUACAUUUGGUAAUAUUCUUAUGUCCAUUUCAGAAAUGAACAGAUUGAGGUUAAGAAGCAUGUCUAAGGUCAUGGAGUUUGUACAUGACAGAGACCAAAAUGCAAACCUAGAUUGCCUGAUUUCAAAGCGGCAAUUUAAAUAAUAUCUGUACUUUAAGUCUGAAAUUUGAUCAAUUGCAUAUCAAGAGGUGAUUUAAAACAAAAUCCAAAUUUACAAAAACACAUAUAUCCCCAGGUGGACCUGCAUAGGACCCAGAAUAUCAUGGGGUCUAGAAAAGAGAAGGCAAAUGUUGUAGAACCAAAGAAGAAGAGGAGGAUACAUACAGGACCAGGACAGACAUCUUUUCUUUGCCUCCCUUGAGGAGGAGUUUUUUCAUUCUCAUGCAGGAGAUUGGUGUUAAUAAUAGAACAACAUUAUAUUAUUUAUGGUUAUAUCUGUAUCACUUUAUGCUGAGUUAACUAUAUAUUUAAUGUAGGUUCAGUCAGUCUCAAUAAAUCCUUUUAUGAUGUUUUCAUAAAGCCAUAAGUCGAAAAAAAAAAGCAUCCGAGUAUCAUUAAGGGUAUUAUUAUCAAACAAUAUUAGAUACUGGUAAGGAAGCUUCGUACCUAAUUGCAAAUUGCUGUCAAAAUUCCACUGUACUGAGACUGCAGGCCAGGCGGACAUUUUCCCUUUCCCUAUUAGACGGUAGCUCAUCACAGAAAUAUAUCCAAUGAAUAACCCAUGCUUUUGACUUUCAAGACACAUUAUUUCUCUACGCAAACAAAACACCAGGCUUUGCUUCCCAACUCUCUCCCUUUGGUGAUGUUCCCAAUCAGUUGCAGUUGAAGCAGGUGAGGAAACAUAGGACACGAUGAAGCAGUAUCCUUUAGAAUGGGGUGUUGGUGAACAGGUGCUACAAAAUAUGUCUAGGAAACAUGCAUAUUUCUCCCCAGCUUGAAUAUCCAUCAGGAAGUUGUUCUUUCUGCCAAAGACAUUGAAUUAAAAGGAUGGGAGAAGAACACAAAUACAUACACGAAUGCAAAGCACAGAUACUCCACAUAGAUCAUGCAACACUCAUUGCAGAGUGUGUCAAAGAAAACUGUGAAGGAAUAAUUCCCACAGUAAUAAACAAGUAACCUUAGGUGGAUGCAGAGUGUUCUUGAAGGAGUCCAUUACAAAGACUUGGCAGUAGAUGUGAAAUUUGAUUAAUUAUACAUAUUGGCUAUUGAUCAUUUCCCUCGCAUUAAUGAGAAUUAUCAAAAUCUUGAUAAUUCAAAAGAAGAGAAAUUAGAUAGAACUGAAACAGAAACUAUUUCCUUAGCCAUUUACAGUUAAAAGUUUCCUAAUUGAAAAGAAACAGAACCCCAGUCUGUUCAUUGUUAAUAUAUAUUUUUAUGCUUAUGUUAACUGUAUACCAAAAUAUUUAUAGUUCUAAUUUCAUAGUGUGUCUUGAGUCAUCUAACUUAAUCACAUUGCUUCCUUUAAAAUUUCCCAAGUAUAAAAACUAGAUAUAGCUGUAGAUGCAGAUAUUAGUUGCCCUGCAGACAAAAUUCUAGAGCCUGGAGCAAUAAAAACUAGAAAGCAGAGUACCUUCUGCAACGUUGGCUUAUUGGGGGCGGGAUGCGCUCUAGGUUUCACAGGUACAGAUACCAUUAAUUUCCCAUCACCCAACAGAGGUCUAAGGGAGAGGAAUAGAAGUCUGUAAUACUACAAACCACUCUCAUAGAUCUCACACCAAUCCUUCCUCUACCCCUUAUGAUCCACCACAAAACACACAUACAUUCUCAAAAAUAAAAAGAAAAAAUUACACACACACACACACACACACACACACACAUCAGUCCUAUAGGAUUAGUAUCUCACCCUUAAGAUCUCAUUAACCUUAGUUACUUUCCUUAAAGACCUGGUCUCCAAAUACAGUUACAUUGGAGGUUAGUGCAUAUGAAUUUGGGAAGGAAGAACACAAUUCAGUUCAUAACAAUAGAACAGUGUUCAGAAAGCAGGAUACAAAUUAUGUUUGCUCUGUGACUACAGUUACAUGAAACAUAUGCAUAGGAAAAAGGAGUAAGGAAGGAAAUGCAUAAAAGGGGGAAAAUUAAUUAUGAGAUAAAUUGGCUUAUUCUUUUUCUCUAUUUUCUGACAUAUUGUAAUUAAAAUAUCAUUUAUGACUUUAAAGUAUUUUUGAAUGAUUUACAUUCUAAGAUAUACCAUGCACCAUGGUAGUUGGUGACAGAUUGUAUAGCUUUGCCCUUAAGGACUGUCAUUCAGUUUAACAAAUGUAGCUGUAACACACAUCCACAUGGCCCAAGGGAGGGGACUUGAGCCUGUACUGACCUGAACAGAGAGGAGCAGUUCUCUUCCUUUCAUCUUGAUCAGUAAUAGCUCAGCCAUUUACCUUGUUCCUGGAUUAAGUCCAUCCCAUGAGAAAAAUGGAGAAAAUAGCAGAAUAAAUGGAGAGUUUUAAACCACCAAACACUCUACUUAUUGGAAACAACACCAAGAGAAACAUAGCUUUCCUACUAUUCUGCCAAUCUCAUAUAUAGACUAAGUAUUACAGGUAUAAAGAAUUAUAAGAUUUUUCAGGCACUCCUGUGUAAUUACAAAAACUUGUUACCAUAAGCCCAAGAAAUCAAACAGAUUCUGAAGAAUUCAUUAAAUGCAAAGCAUCAUGCAAAACUCAUCUUCCUUCUGUUCCCGCUGCCCACCCCCCACCCGCAACAACCCCUAGAACAAACCUAAACAAAAGGCUUGAAAACCAAGUGUAGUUUUAGAGCCAAGGUUGAUUUGCAUGUGAGAAGGACACAUAUGCAAAAUCUAGCUCAUACUGUGAGUCCAUUCAAAUCAAAUACUCAAAGUGUAUGUCUUUAACUUUUGAAAUCUGGAGAAAAACGCAAAUUCAGAGACUCAUGGACAAGAUCUGACUACCUAGAGCAGAAGCUGCUGGAGCCAUAAACUAGUAGGAACAUGUAAAUGGUCAUUUUGGUGAUUUUCUCCAGGCUGAGUGUGCAAUAGCCAGAGUGAGAAAGUGUUGAGAGCACAGUCUUAGAGGGAGCCCUACAGUUUUAUGGGUUUUACCUUGAGGAAUUACACCAGGUUCUCACUACAAAGAGCCAAGUCGAUCCCUGACUAGCUUAGGCAAGAGGGGAGAAGAAGUAACCAUCAAAUAGUAUACCCAGAGCAUUCUUUAUUUCAAAAGCCUGUUCUCCCAGGGAAAAUAUGUUUUCAGAGCUGUAUUCCACCUGGGGGCUUUAGCCCCAUCUAACUUUUAUGUGUCAAAUAAAGAGUGAGAAAAUAAAAUCUAAGAAACCCUCACGAACGUCACAGGCCCACUAAAAGACUGAGCACUGAUCGUAAGAUUAUACAAUGCUUCUCCCCCUUCAGACCUUACCAUUAUGCCAACGGGACUCCAUUAUAAUAACAGUGACUAUAGCUAAAAGAACUGCAAGUUGGAGACUAUCUAAGGAGGAGCUCCCAGGAAAGCCCAGUGACAACAGAGGAAACAAGGACAACAGAGAAACAUAGAGCUCUAGAAGCUACAGUUGCAACAAACAUUAAAUACAGCCCAAUUCCUAGACAGAUUAACAUAGAACCUCACAGUAAAGCCUAUUAUUUCCCAUUUUAAAAAGGAAUUUUAAAGAACACAUAAUAA